rnacentral:rRNA from 1 species
UACGUAGGGUGCGAGCGUUGUCCGGAAUUACUGGGCGUAAAGAGCUCGUAGGUGGUUUGUCGCGUUGUUCGUGAAGACCGAGGGCUUAACCCUCGGCGUGCGGGCGAUACGGGCAGACUGGAGUACUGCAGGGGAGACUGGAAUUCCUGGUGUAGCGGUGGAAUGCGCAGAUAUCAGGAAGAACACCCGUGGCGAAGGCGGUUCUCUGGGACGGUACUGACGCUGAGACGCGAAAGCGUGGGGAGCGAACAGG